rnacentral:snRNA from 1 species
ACUGCUUCUCGGCUUUUUGGCUAAGAUCAAGUGUAGUAUCUGUUAUUAUCAGUUUAAAAAUAAGAUCAAUAUACUAUUACUAUAAAAUAUUUUACAACGUAUAUAUGAGGAGUGGGGAUGGAGGCUGGAGUGUCAAACACUAU